rnacentral:misc_RNA from 1 species
UCCGGUUUGUCACCGGCAGUCUCGCGUGAGUCCCCAACUAAAUGCUGGCAACAUGCGACAGGGGUUGCGCUCGUUGCGGGACCUAACCCAACAUCUCACGACACGAGCUGACGACAGCCAUGCAGCACCUGUGUUCCGAUUCCCUUUCGGGCACACCCACAUCUCUGCGGGCUCUCGGACAUGUCAAGGGUAGGUAAGGUUUUUCGCGUUGCAUCGAAUUAAUCCACAUAAUCCACCGCUUGUGCGGGUCCCCGUCAAUUCCUUUGAGUUUUAGCCUUGCGGCCGUACUCCCCAGGCGGGGCACUUAUUGCGUUAGCGACGGCACGGGAGGAGUCGACACCUCCCACACCUAGUGCCCAUCGUUUACGGCGUGGACUAC